CAGUCGACGCGCAGCGAAAGGUGCUUGCACCUUUCAAGCGAGUGGCGAACGGGUGAGUAACACGUGGAUAACCUGCCUCAAGGCUGGGGAUAACAUUUGGAAACAGAUGCUAAUACCGAAUAAAACUUAGUAUCGCAUGAUACAAAGUUGAAAGGCGCUACGGCGUCACCUAGAGAUGGGUCCGCGGUGCAUUAGUUAGUUGGUGGGGUAAAGGCCUACCAAGACAAUGAUGCAUAGCCGAGUUGAGAGACUGAUCGGCCACAUUGGGACUGAGACACGGCCCAAACUCCUACGGGAGGCUGCAGUAGGGAAUCUUCCACAAUGGGCGAAAGCCUGAUGGAGCAACGCCGCGUGUGUGAUGAAGGCUUUAGGGUCGUAAAGCACUGUUGUAUGGGAAGAAAUGCUAGAAUAGGGAAUGAUUCUAGUUCGACGGUACCAUACCAGAAAGGGACGGCUAAAUACGUGCCAGCAGCCGCGGUAAUACGUAUGUCCCGAGCGUUAUCCGGAUUUAUUGGGCGUAAAGCGAGCGCAGACGGUUGAUUAAGUCUGAUGUGAAAGCCCGGAGCUCAACUCCGGAAUGGCAUUGGAAACUGGUUAACUUGAGUGUUGUAGAGGUAAGUGGAACUCCAUGUGUAGCGGUGGAAUGCGUAGAUAUAUGGAAGAACACCAGUGGCGAAGGCGGCUUACUGGACAACAACUGACGUUGAGGCUCGAAAGUGUGGGUAGCAAACAGGAUUAGAUACCCUGGUAGUCCACACCGUAAACGAUGAAUACUAGGUGUUAGGAGGUUUCCGCCUCUU
rnacentral:rRNA from 1 species